GACGAACGCUGGCGGCGUGCUUAACACAUGCAAGUCGAACGGUAAGGCCCUUCGGGGUACACGAGUGGCGAACGGGUGAGUAACACGUGGGUGAUCUGCCCUGCACUUCGGGAUAAGCCUGGGAAACUGGGUCUAAUACCGGAUAGGACCACUGCCUGCAUGGGUGGUGGUGGAAAGCUUUUGCGGUGUGGGGUGGGCCCGCGGCCUAUCAGCUUGUUGGUGGGGUGAUGGCGUACCAGGGCGACGACGGGUAGCCGGCCUGAGAGGGUGACCGGCCACACUGGGACUGAUAUACGGCCCAGACGCCUACGGGAGGCAGCAGUGGGGAAUAUUGCACAAUGGGCGCAAGCCUGAUGCAGCGACGCCGCGUGAGGGAUGACGGCCUUCGGGUUGUAAACCUCUUUCAGCACCGACGAAGCGCAAGUGACGGUAGGUGCAGAAGAAGGACCGGCCAACUACGUGCCAGCCGCCGCCGUAA
rnacentral:rRNA from 1 species